rnacentral:tRNA from 1 species
UGGUACAUCGCCAAAUGGUAAGGCACUGGCUUUUGAUGCUAGCAUUUAAAGGUUCGAAUCCUUUUGUACCAG